UACGUAGGGUGCAAGCGUUAUCCGGAAUUAUUGGGCGUAAAGAGCUCGUAGGUGGCCUGUCGCGUCGGCUGUGAAAAACCUGGGGCUCAACUCUGGGCGUGCGGUCGAUACGGGCAUCACUUGAGUUCGGCAGGGGAGACUGGAAUUCCUGGUGUAGCGGUGAAAUGCGCAGAUAUCAGGAGGAACACCGGUGGCGAAGGCGGGUCUCUGGGCCGAUACUGACGCUGAGGAGCGAAAGCAUGGGUAGCGAACAGG
rnacentral:rRNA from 1 species